GAGAAAGUGUCAUAAUAAAAAUGACUGGCAGUUGCAAUUUUCAUUACCAUUAUUAUCAUUUGAACCCAUAUCACGACUGUUGUCAUUAUCAUUUAUUACAGCAUAAGACCUUGAAAGAUGCCUUCUUCAAACAAGAUCCCACUAAGAUACAUAAACACUGGUGGGAAGGGUUAGAAGAGGCGGAGUCAGUCCUGAAGUCGCCCUCCCUUCUUCUGCCCAACUGCAGCGUCAUUCUUGGGUUAGAAUCGGUGAAAAUCCACGCUGCUGCUCUCUUUAACACCACAUUUCCAGCUCUGCUCUUCCAUUCAUCGCAAGGAAUAACUGCAAGUCCUUAUCAAGGGUACAGCGUUUCCACCUUGGCCACCCAGUGGUCAGAACUGCGGCCCGGGCGAGGCGUGCGGCGACCCAUCAUAUCCCCGCUGCCGCCGGGGUCUCAGCAGCCAGUAGGUGUUGGAUUAACUAAUAGCUUCUCAUCAAGCUAAUGGGAGGACUUGACAGAAGAGGAAUGGCCCAAAAAAAAACAGGAGGCACAGCGGACAAGAGGCGCUGGGAGAUGGAGAGAGCAAAAGGCAGAGAGAGAAGGAUUCGUUCAGGACUGAAAUAUGCAUUGGGAAGAAAGGCUGCCCUACAGGGGCUUUUUGAGGAGCAGCACGCGCUAACCUGAUUUGGUUCCUCUCGGCCUGGAACAGGCAGCAGCAGAAAAGCACACUUGUGCUAACACUCACUGCUAACAUUUGUUGCACACAGUUGUGAGCCCUAAUGGACUGUAGCCUAGGAAGCGCGCAGGGCAGGGAUCAAUCGGAAUCCAGGGACGCUUUUAAAAGAGCUCCAGCCUCAUAGAGAUUUAAAAAUAGAUUAGGCUGGUUUCCCACUGAGGUAUGUGUGCAUGUGCAUGUGCAUGCGUGUGUGUGUGUGUGUGUGUGUGUGUGUUCAUGCAGGAAAUAAUAAUGUAACACAGGCUGCACAGCACCAGUGAGGAAAACAAUCAGCCAACAUAUGUGUUAAGAGUCGGGCAUGGAAGUGAAUUAUUUUAUUUUUUAUUAAUAAAAAAAUUUAAUCUUAAU
rnacentral:lncRNA from 1 species